rnacentral:rRNA from 1 species
CGCGAAAACUUUACAAUGCUGGCAACAGCGAUAAGGGAACCUCGAGUGCCAGGUUACAAAUCUGGCUGUCGAGAUGCCUAAAAAGCAUUUCAUAGCAAGGGCCGGGCAAGACCGGUGCCAGCCGCCGCGGUAACACCGGCGGCUCGAGUGGUAACCGUUAUUAUUGGGUCUAAAGGGUCUGUAGCCGGCCGGAUAAGUCUCUUGAGAAAUCUGGCAGCUUAACUGUCAGGCUUUCAGGAGAUACUGUCUGGCUCGAGGCCGGGAGAGGUGAGAGGUACUUCAGGGGUAGGGGUGAAAUCUUGUAAUCCUUGAAGGACCACCAGUGGCGAAGGCGUCUCACCAGAACGGACCUGACGGCAAGGGACGAAAGCUAGGGGCACGAACCGGAUUAG